UACAGAGGGUGCAAGCGUUGUUCGGAAUUAUUGGGCGUAAAGCGCGUGUAGGCGGCUUUGUAAGUCGGGUGUGAAAUCCCUCAGCUUAACUGAGGAAGUGCGCCCGAAACUGCCGAGCUUGAGUACCGGAGAGGGUGGCGGAAUUCCCCAAGUAGAGGUGAAAUUCGUAGAUAUGGGGAGGAACACCGGUGGCGAAGGCGGCCACCUGGACGGAUACUGACGCUGAGACGCGAAAGCGUGGGGAGCGAUCCGG
rnacentral:rRNA from 1 species